UUAGGGAUGAAAUGCUGCAGAGGAUUAAUCUGCAGAGUCCCACAGCUUCAUCUUGGACUCUGCAUUUUACUCAGCAGCAUCCUCAACAUUUACUCUGCCCAUGACAUCCCCUGUGCCAACUUUCUAAAGGCUAUCUGGGAGGACAUUUUGAAGGCAAAAGGAGUAUUAGACUUCUUCAGGGAUUCACUUAAGGACAACUGAAGUACAUGGGAUGAUUUGAAGACCAAGACUUUAACAGUGUUUUGAGCUUCCAGAGAGAGGACAGUCAAGUGCAUAAACUGCAAAGAGGUAUUUAAGUUGUUUUAUUUAUUUCCAGGUAUAUGUAUGUAGUAAGACUGCAUUUGCCCCUUAUUUCAAAGUAAAAAAACAGGAAUAUUUUUCCUAUAGAUUGUCAAACACUUGUAUUCCAGAUGCAUAUGAAGUCUUGAUGGUUUUGCUGAACACUUAUUAAAGGAGGCUGGCACUGGCUACAAGAACAGUGACGCUUUCUAAUAAACCCAAAAUUUGUAUUAAUUUCAUCAUCUUGUUUGACUGAACUUGUGGAAUCGAGUUACUACCAGCUAAAUUCCACCUUUCAGCAUUUGAAAUGAUCGGUGGCUGGGUGAGGAGCAGAGAAAAGGGCAGGAAACAUGAGCAAAAAAAUCACCAGUCAGAACUAUCACUAUCAGUUUUUCGUCUAUUUAUUGAUGGGCCCUUAGUCUUCCGAAGGUCAGUUAAGACUAAAACCAUCUGUAGGCUUCUCUGCUCUGUCCCUUAUCACCCCAAUCCAUACCUCUGUCAGAUAUUCCUGUAAUGAGUUCUAGGCUAACUACAUUUUAGAAAACAAAAAGAAAAAGAAUGGCAUUACCAUAACUUGAGACACAGUCUCUGGGCCAUGAUCCAUAUAGGCUGGUUCUAGGGGA